UGGCGCCCAACGUUGAGGCUUGAGAAUGUGGAGGAUCGGUGAACGUCGCACACCAAAGCACCAUGGAGAACGCUCCAUGAUCGAAGGUCCGGUCAGUGAUCACCACGGGGACGCCCGACCGUGAGACAGAUCUGGGGAGUCGAUUUGUGCCGACGCAAGGUAAGUUUACCAUGGGACAAGCAUUCAGUAAGCAGGAUUUAUUUAUUUCAGGACUUAAACAGUCUCUCGAGACAAGAGGAACAAGGGUUAAAAAGAAAGAUUUUAAAAAGUUUCUUGAUUAUAUUGGGGACCUUUGUCCCU
rfam:Neotoma lepida isolate 417 scaffold_1649, whole genome shotgun sequence.